rnacentral:rRNA from 1 species
GGCUACACACGUGCUACAAUGGGUAGAACAGAGAGUUGCAAAGCUGUGAAGUGGAGCUAAUCUCAGAAAACUAUUCUUAGUUCGGAUUGUACUCUGCAACUCGAGUACAUGAAGUUGGAAUCGCUAGUAAUCGCGAAUCAGCAAUGUCGCGGUGAAUACGUUCUCGGGUCUUGUACACACCGCCCGUCACACCACGAGAGUUGGUUGCACCUGAAGUAGCAGGCCUAACCGCAAGGAGGGAUGCUCCGAGGGUGUGAUUAGCGAUUGGGGUGAAGUCGUAACAAGGUAUCCGUACGGGAACGU